AUUGAACGCUGGCGGAAUGCUUUACACAUGCAAGUCGAACGGCAGCACGGACUUCGGUCUGGUGGCGAGUGGCGAACGGGUGAGUAAUGUAUCGGACCGUGCCCAGUCGUGGGGGAUAACGUAGUGAAAAUUACGCUAAUACCGCAUACGAUCUAUGGAUGAAAGCGGGGGAUCGCAAGACCUCGCGCGAUUGGAGCGGCAGAUAUCAGAUCAGGUGGUUGGUGAGGUAAAAGCACAACAAGCCUGAGAUCUGUAGCUGGUCUGAGAGGACGACCAGCCACACUGGAACUGAGACACGGUCCAGACUCCUACGGGGGGCAGCAGUGGGGAAUUUUGGACAAUGGGCGAAAGCCUGAUCCAGCCAUUCCGCGUGCAGGAUGAAGGCCCUCGGGUUGUAAACUGCUUUUGUACAGAACGAAAAGGUUUCUACUAAUACUAGGAGCUCAUGACGGUACUGUAAGAAUAAGCACCGGCUAACUACGUGCCAGCCGCCGCCGUAA
rnacentral:rRNA from 1 species